AAACACAUCAAUCAAACAUUCACUUCUAAACACGGAAGGAAUAUCUCUGCUGCGGAGAAGGAACCAAAAUCAGUCCACUGGGGGAAGGAAAUAACACAUCUUCCUUGAAAGUUCUAACACCAAACUAGAAUCAGGUAAAGUCUGAGUUGGGAAGCUAUAGAGCCACUUCCAGGGAACUCAACACGGAUAAGAUUCAUCAUAGAAGAAACUUUACUGGGGAAC
rnacentral:lncRNA from 1 species